GUUGCAUCGUCUCCUGCAUUUCUCUAGGGUUUGGAGUAGGAUUUCAUCGUUGCUAUCAUGACUCAAUGUGAUACUCACCAUUCGAGUGCUUGGGGUGUGUGACUUGAGUCACUUGGCCGUAUCAGUGCUGAGCUCCAAGAUGGGAAGCCAAUAAUAUGUGUUACGGGUCGUGACGUGAUUACCCUUUAAAGGCCAGCAGAUUUGCGUGUUCAAAUUUUAAUUUCUGUUCAAUUGGUCAAUAAUCAUCCUUCCGGCGGAAGUGCUUUUGGGUAUUCAAUUCAACAAUGUUUGGUAAGUUUCCUAAGCUUGCAUGUCAUUUUCAUUAUUUAAUAUGCAUCAUUAUCAGUUCAACGACGGAGGUGGGAGUCCCUUGCUUGGAUUUGGCAGCUUUGAAGCAUGCAAUUCGAGGACAAAAAAAAGGGACCCGAAAUUUUAACUUCCCAUAAAAUCGAGGCGCCAAACAACGAUGUUUAAGGUAAAGUGAAACGGAGGUCGGUAGCUACUCUCAUCUAGCUCCUCAUCGCACCGAUACUGACUGUAUCGUCGGUCUCGGGAAUCAUAAGCGUUCACUCUGAAGAGCUAAGGACAAUGGCUUCCUCUGUCUCAUCUUCAGUUAGCAAGGAAGUCCCAGAAGUAGUUGACCAACUGGAAAAAAUCACUGCACCCUAUGGCUCAUGGAAGUCCCCAAUCACCGCUGAUGUUGUGUCCGGCGCCUCCAAGCGAAUCGGAGGUACUGCUGUUGAUGACUCUGGUCGCCUUAUCUGGCUUGAAUCACGGCCCUCUGAAUCUGGGCGUGAAGUUCUCGUCAAGGAGCCGGAGAAGCUGGGUGAUGAGCCUAUUGAUAUUACUCCAAAGGAGUUUUCAGUUCGGACCACUGCACAGGAGUACGGCGGUGGUGCUUUCAUGAUAUCUGGGGAUACUAUAGUCUUCUCCAAUUUCGAGGAUCAGAGACUAUAUAAGCAAUCCAUUAACCCCAGUAGUAGCCACUCUUCUCCUCGACCUCUCACUCCAGAUUAUGGUGAACCGUUAGUCAGUUAUGCUGAUGGAGUAUUUGAUUUACGUUUCAAUCGUUAUAUUGCCGUACGGGAAGAUCGGCGCAAUAACAGCUCAAGUCCAACCACGACAAUUGUAUCUAUAGGACUCGAAGAGAAGGCUAUAGAAGAUCCGGAGGUACUUGUAGAGGGAAGUGACUUUUAUGCUUUUCCUCGAGUGGAUCCCAAAGGGAAACGGAUUGCAUGGAUCCAAUGGUAUCACCCUAACAUGCCAUGGGAUAAAUCAGAGCUCUGGGUUGGUUACCUUUCUGAGAAUGGCAAAAUCAACAAACGUGUCUGUGUUGCUGGUUGUGAUCCAGAGCUAGUGGAGUCACCUACUGAGCCUAAGUGGUCCUCUGAGGGAGAACUUUUUUUUGUUACCGAUAGGAAAAGUGGGUUCUGGAAUCUAUACAAAUGGUUCGAGGCAGAUAAUGAGGUGUCUCCAGUUUAUUCUUUGAAUGCGGAGUUUUCACGUCCACUAUGGGUUUUUGGCAUAAACUCUUAUGGUUUCUUACCUGGCCAUCAAGGAGAAAACUAUAUUCUCUGCAGCUAUAGGCAGCAUGGGAGGUCAUAUCUUGGACUCGUGGGUGAUACACAAAGCUCGCCAUCUCUGCUUGAUAUUCCCUUUUCAGAUAUUGAUAAUAUUACAAUUGGGAAACAUUGUUUUUAUGUGGAGGGAGCGUCAGCCUUUCAUCCACCAUCAAUUGCUAGGGUUACUCUAGAAGAGAAAAACUUGAAAGUAGUUGAGUUCACCAUUAUUUGGUCAUCAUCGCCUGAUAUUUUGACGUAUAAGUCAUACUUCAGCACUCCUAGGUUAAUUGAAUUUGCAACAGAAGUGCCUGGUGAAAAGGCUUAUGCCUAUUUUUAUCCACCAUUCAAUCCCCUUUACCAUUCUUGUGAGGACGAGAAGCCUCCAUUGUUGCUGGAAAGCCAUGGAGGCCCGACAGAUGAAUCACGUGGAAUAUUAAAUCUAAGAAUCCAGUAUUGGACUAGUCGAGGAUGGGCUUUUGUCAACGUUAACUAUGGAGGAAGCUCUGGUUACGGGAGGGACUAUCGGGAAAGGCUUUUGAGGAAGUGGGGAAUUGUUGAUGUCAAUGACUGUUGCAGCUGUGCAAAAUAUUUGGUUGAUUCAGGAGCAGUUGAUGCAGAACGAUUAUGCAUUGCUGGGGAAUCUGCUGGGGGAUACACUACCCUAGCUGCUCUUGCUUUCAGAGAUACAUUCAAGGCAGGAGCUUCCUUGUAUGGUAUAGCUGACUUGCGCAUGUUGAGUGCAGACAUGCACAAAUUUGAAUCUCAUUAUAUUGAUAAUCUUGUCGGAGGUGAAAGAGAUUAUUAUGAAAGGUCGCCAAUUAAUUUUGUGGAAAAAUUCUAUUGUCCAAUAAUUUUAUUCCAGGGAUUGGAUGACAAAGUUGUGCCUCCUAUUCAAGCUCGUAAGAUCUACGAAGCAUUGAAAGAGAAGGGCAUGCCUGUUGCUUUAAUUGAAUACGAAGGAGAACAACACGGCUUUCGCAAGGCGGAGAACAUAAAAUUUACGUUGGAACAACAAAUGCUGUUCUUUGCACGAUUGGUCGGACGCUUUGAAGUUGCUGAUUAGAUCAGUCCAAUCGAAUUUGACAACUUUGGACAUCCCAGGCGAUUUCAUGGCAGUGUGAGUUUUGAGUGCUCAAUGUCCCCAAAUGAUUUGAUCAUGCCAUCACUUCUCCAACCGAUAUCAAAUGGUCCUUUGGUCACUGGGUUUCCGAUAGGGUUUUAUUCUUGCCUGUUCCUCUGGACUACUUUUCAUUCCAUGGUUCACCCAAGCGACUUCCUGGUAUUGCUGUCGUUGACAAUGAUCCCUCGAUUCUUAUUCGGAUGAGGAUGUCCUUUCCUUGGCUCUUGGACUACAUCCUAUGAUUGAAUUGUUAAAAUUGAUUGUUGUUCCCUAAUUCAGGUUUUUAGGUAAACAAUUUGUAGUGAUUAUAAGUUUAAAAUGCUGCGUACUGCAAUUCUGUUUAAGAUGGUUCAAACAUGAGAGCCUUUGUAAAAUAAUUAGAAAAGCCUUAAAUUCAGAUGGUGAACAUAUUGUUAAUCA